GAAAGGCGUAGUCGAUGGGAAACGGGUUAAUAUUCCCGUACUUGGUGUUACUGCGAAGGGGGGACGGAGAAGGCUAUGUUGGCCGGGCGACGGUUGUCCCGGUUUAAGCGUGUAGGUGUGUGUUCCAGGUAAAUCCGGUUCACUUUAACACUGAGGCGUGACGACGAGGCACUACGGUGCUGAAGCAACAAAUGCCCUGCUUCCAGGAAAAGCCUCUAAGCAUCAGGUAACACGAAAUCGUACCCCAAACCGACACAGGUGGUCAGGUAGAGAAUACCAAGGCGCUUGAGAGAACUCGGGUGAAGGAACUAGGCAAAAUGGUGCCGUAACUUCGGGAGAAGGCACGCUGACACGUAGGUGAAGUGAUUUACUCAUGGAGCUGAAGUCAGUCGAAGAUACCAGCUGGCUGCAACUGUUUAUUAAAAACACAGCACUGUGCAAACACGAAAGUGGACGUAUACGGUGUGACGCCUGCCCGGUGCCGGAAGGUUAAUUGAUGGGGUCAGCGCAAGCGAAGCUCCUGAUCGAAGCCCCGGUAAACGGCGGCCGUAACUAUAACGGUCCUAAGGUAGCGAAAUUCCUUGUCGGGUAAGUUCCGACCUGCACGAAUGGCGUAAUGAUGGCCAGGCUGUCUCCACCCGAGACUCAGUGAAAUUGAACUCGCUGUGAAGAUGCAGUGUACCCGCGGCAAGACGGAAAGACCCCGUGAACCUUUACUAUAGCUUGACACUGAACAUUGAGCCUUGAUGUGUAGGAUAGGUGGGAGGCUUUGAAGUGUGGACGCCAGUCUGCAUGGAGCCGACCUUGAAAUACCACCCUUUAAUGUUUGAUGUUCUAACGUGGACCCGUAAUCCGGGUUGCGGACAGUGUCUGGUGGGUAGUUUGACUGGGGCGGUCUCCUCCUAAAGAGUAACGGAGGAGCACGAAGGUUGGCUAAUCCUGGUCGGACAUCAGGAGGUUAGUGCAAUGGCAUAAGCCAGCUUGACUGCGAGCGUGACGGCGCGAGCAGGUGCGAAAGCAGGUCAUAGUGAUCCGGUGGUUCUGAAUGGAAGGGCCAUCGCUCAACGGAUAAAAGGUACUCCGGGGAUAACAGGCUGAUACCGCCCAAGAGUUCAUAUCGACGGCGGUGUUUGGCACCUCGAUGUCGGCUCAUCACAUCCUGGGGCUGAAGUAGGUCCCAAGGGUAUGGCUGUUCGCCAUUUAAAGUGGUACGCGAGCUGGGUUUAGAACGUCGUGAGACAGUUCGGUCCCUAUCUGCCGUGGGCGCUGGAGAACUGAGGGGGGCUGCUCCUAGUACGAGAGGACCGGAGUGGACGCAUCACUGGUGUUCGGGUUGUCAUGCCAAUGGCACUGCCCGGUAGCUAAAUGCGGAAGAGAUAAGUGCUGAAAGCAUCUAAGCACGAAACUUGCCCCGAGAUGAGUUCUCCCUGAGACUUUAGGUCUCCUGAAGGAACGUUGAAGACGACGACGUUGAUAGGCCGGGUGUGUAAGCGCAGCGAUGCGUUGAGCUAACCGGUACUAAUGAACCGUGAGGCUUAACCUUACAACGCCGAAG
rnacentral:rRNA from 1 species